rnacentral:tmRNA from 1 species
GGGGCUGCACUGGUUUCGACGGGGGUGCGGAAUCGACGUGGUGCAUGUCGAGCUGAAUGUGCUCGUAAAACUGAUUCAAAAAAACUAACUGCAAACGACGAACGUUUCGCACUCGCUGCUUAAUAACCAGUGAGCCUUACAACGGCAGGCCGAUGGGCCGGGCAAGGGUGGCGCAAGCUGUCCAGGCUGUAAGGUCAUUUACAUCGGCUGGCCUGACACCGGGUACCUUGGUGGCAGGCGAGAAAACAGGGUACUGGCGGCGUUUGUAGCGUGCGACUGCGCGACACACGUGGCGAGAUCCAAAUCAGACCGCUAAACAUGUAGAUCUGCUCGAAGAUGGCUUUCGGACGGGGGUUCAAAUCCCCCCAGCUCCACCA